rnacentral:rRNA from 1 species
GAUGAAUGCUGGCGGCGUGCCUAACACAUGCAAGUCGAGCGGUAACAGGAGUAGUUUACUACUUGCUGACGAGCGGCGGACGGCUGAGUAACGCGUGGGAACGUGCCCCAAAGUGAGGGAUAACUGCCCGAAAGGGUGGCUAAUACCGCAUAUGGUCUUCGGAUUAAAGGAUUUAUCCGCUUUGGGAGCGACCCGCGUUAGAUUAGUUAGUUGGUAGGGUAAUGGCCUACCAAGCCUACGAUCUAUAGCUGGUCUGAGAGGAUGACCAGCCAGACUGGAACUGAGACACGGUCCAGACUCCUACGGGAGGCAGCAGUGGGGAAUUUUCCACAAUGGGCGAAAGCCUGAUGGAGCAACGCCGCGUGAAGGAUGAAGGCCCUCGGGUUGUAAACUUCUUUUAUAAGUGAAGAAUAUGACGGUAACUUAUGAAUAAGCACCGGCUAACUACGUGCCAGCCGCCGCGGUAA